rnacentral:rRNA from 1 species
AGGGAAUCUUCGGCAAUGGGGGCAACCCUGACCGAGCAACGCCGCGUGAGUGAAGAAGGUUUUCGGAUCGUAAAGCUCUGUUGUAAGUCAAGAACGGGUGUGAGAGUGGAAAGUUCACACUGUGACGGUAGCUUACCAGAAAGGGACGGCUAACUACGUGCCAGCAGCCGCGGUAAUACGUAGGUCCCGAGCGUUGUCCGGAUUUAUUGGGCGUAAAGCGAGCGCAGGCGGUUUGAUAAGUCUGAAGUUAAAGGCUGUGGCUCAACCAUAGUUCGCUUUGGAAACUGUCAAACUUGAGUGCAGAAGG